rnacentral:rRNA from 1 species
AUGGGCGAUGGGUACCCCAAAGACGGCAAGACGAUAUUUCAAGACAUCGGGGCUAGCAAAGCCCCUCAGUCCGACUGCCCGGCCGCUCCUGCCGGCUCCCCGUCCGACUGCCCUGCCCGGCCGGCGGCGGCUGCCGACUGCGCCAACCAGUCGGCUACCGACUGCGCCAACCAGCCGGCUGCCGACUGCAGCCCGACCCGACACCGACAAGACGCCGACGUGGCGGUCAUAUCGCGGACAAGACGGCCGUACCGCAACGUCAUCUAUAGUGUACCGUGUCCCCUGGGUACUGAUUUAUAA